UCUGUGCUGUACACACGCUCCACAAACAUGUCACACACGUGCUCCCAUAUGUUACCUACACCAGCAGCACGGAUGUGCCACAUGCACAAUGUCAUUGCAAGUGUAUGACACACACACGAGUGGCACACGCACACCUAUCACACACAUGGCUUAUAAGCGAACGUAUGUGUGCUGCUCACCCGGGCACAGACACUUCAUAGAUACAUAAAUAUAUAAAAAUGACACUGUCCAUGCACACAGACAUAUUUACAAUAGGGAGGUGCCCUGCAUUUCCCUGUCCCAGCCUGGCCACGAAAGAGCUGGGGGGACCUGCUGGAGUUGGGAUCUUCACCAUAGCCCCAAACUCAUGGGUGGAGCCCUGAAGCGCAUCUCACCCAUGGGAGACGGAUCCCCCGGAGGAUGUCUCCCAGAGCCCGGGCUGGGUGACAUCGGGGCUGACCCCUGCUCCUGCUGCAGUGGCUCGCAGUGAGGACAGGCUGGGCACGGCGAUCACAGCACGGCGGGGCAGGAAGGGGCUUUGGGCCCGAGGUAUGUUAGCGAUUAACGGCGCUUUGCAGCGAUUCAUCUUGCAGCGGAGGGUGGAAACGUUGGAGGGUUGUUUGCAGGCGCUUGUAUUAAUCAUCCGGGCUAACACACCAUUAACGUCCUCCUGCAUUUUAAAGAUGACAAAUUUUAUUUGACUUCUCUCAAUCACGGUUCCCGGGCGGAUUCGGGAGCCACUUAAAUGGCUCGGAUUUUCCAUCGUUAGUUGUUACAAGGCGAGUCGCAAAGGCAGGAGGCUGGGGGGGCCGGGGCAGGGCUCGGGUUCUGUGCCGGAUCUGCCCAGCUUUGUUCCCCCCUGCUUUGUUCUCAGCUGCUGCAAAGACCCCGCUCCCCCACCCCCUUUAAACAAGCGCCCUGCAAACAUUUGCUAGUGAUUACUCUCCUGUUAGAGCCAGGCCUUGGGUACGUAGGGCGUCGUGCCCCCGAUUUCCUUCAAAGCAGCCGUGGUUGGGUGGGAUCCCCGAGCCCGGCUCGGAGCUGAUGGGAGCCAGUGCCCACCUGGGAGAACUUCAGGGGUCCCACUUCAUGUUUUACCCCCUCAUGCUGACAGAGCAUCACCCUGCUCCUCUCACAAACCAUCCAGGCUCCUCGCUGAGCUUCUCCCCAGUCCUGCAAACUGCCAGGUUAGAGCCUGUGCCACCCAACCCCAGCUCUGGAAACACCUCCCAAAAAUACCCCUUCCAUCCCCAUAGCCCUGCAUUGCACAGGCCACUUACAGCCACAUCCAGCUGGGAGCUGUCACCUUGAGCCUGCACCAGAGUCACCUCCAGCCUCCAGCUGCCAAACCAGGGAUGUUCCACUUCCCAUUGUCCAUGGAGUGGGGCUGGACAUGGCUCACCUCAACAGAACCAGCUGUGGAAUCACUGCCAGCUGUUGGGACAGCUCCAUCCCAGCUGCUCCAUCCCACUUCCUCCAGGUCCCAGGGGAUACCUUGUUUUUCUAACCCCAAAAUGGCCCUGGGCAACCAUGUCACUCCACAGACAGGAUCCAGCCAUGCCAGCUGAGGAAUCCCAAGAAAACCAUUAGAAAGUCUCCUGUUUCUCCACCCAGCACACCACCCUUGUGAGAAGUCGCUUUAACUGCACGCAUGGAAAACACAUCCCAUGAGCAGAUCCUCUUCUCACGGGUCUGCUGUCGUUGCCUUUUAGCACAGGGGAGAUUUAUUCACUUCACGGGUGUUUUUAAAAGGCAUUUUUUUAUAGCUGGGCUUCUCCUACUUAGGGGAGAUUAGGAGAUCGUAUUUCAUGACUUCUUGUGGAUCCCCUUUUGCAGGCUUUAAUGAACUAUGGAUGAGUGACCAUGGUAAUCCAGUCUGUGCAGGACCUCAUUAAAGUCACCAAGGCUGUUAUAAUAACUGGCUACAUCUGAUCACAUUACUCCUCUAAAUGGCUGAUUCCACUGGUAUAUGAGAGCCUGCCCUUACCCAGCACAGGCAGCAGGAGCUUUGCUCUGGGCUCUCACCUCCUGUGCUGCUAACGAGGCACAAUUUGAUUAACUCACAGUGCAGAAAGGCCACGGGAUUUCCCUUCACUGUUUUGCUCAGCCAACCCCAGCCAGAGCAGGCAGUGCCCCGUCCUGAUGGAAGCAGGUGGAUGGUACAAAGAAAGGAUCCCAACAUUUCCCAGUUACAAACUGAAUUUUGGGAGAGGGCUGGCCACAUGCAGCCUGUGACUGUGUGAUGGCACUGGGGGAAGCAGCACUUUCAGCUCCAUACCUUGUGAAAAGCAGCCUGGAGCAGCUCCUGUCUGUCCUGACUGGCAACCCCAAGCCCAUGGCCUCCCCACAGUGGCAGGGCCACCCCAGAGUCCUAGUAAGAUGGAGCCCAGCACCCCAGUAAAACAGGCUGCAGCCCCUCUGGCAGUGGGGUUUGCCCUCCUGCCCCACACUGGGGUGGUGGUCCUGACCCCAGCCUGCAUCCUUUCCUCACUGAAAGCAGACACAGGCAGCCCAGCAAAUAUCCAGAGAGGUGGGGUGGGAGGAAAGAAAAAAAAAAAAAAAAAAAAAAAAAGCCAGAUACAUCUGCAAAAAAACCAGGCAGAAAUGUUUCUUUGUCUUGGAAAGUGUCAGUGAAAGAAAUUCCCUUUGAGGGUAGGUUUUUGUUUGCAAGACUUCAAACCCCUCAUCUGGACAAUAACAGCUUCUGUCUCAGGGAAUUGGGGCUGCGAGGUACCGGCCAAGCCUGAGGUAUUAGAGGCUGGGACAGUAAUUAGGGCUCUGGUGCUGAUAAGGGCGCAGAGCUCAGGCACCUUGGGCUCUGCUCAUGCCAGAGCAGUGAGUGUGCAUCACAUCCCGGGUGUGCAGAGGCUCUGGGGGAUGUAAACACCCACGGCCAGGGCUCUCCAUCCAUCCAUCCAUCCAUGCCUGCCACAGCUCAGUACCCGCACUCCCUGCUCAGCAAACACGUCCCCACCAGCAGCAUAACACCAAACCUGAUUUAGUAUAGGGGAAAAAAAAGUGAUUUUUUUUCUUGUCUCAGCCACCCAUGCUGUGCCAAACUCCUGCACUACCUCUCAGCUGCCACAGGGUACCAACUCCUGCCAGUGCCUGGGUGAAGCACAGGCACGCUCAGGACUGAAAAACGUGGGUUUUACACUGCUGAAAACCAAGGAUCUGCCUUCUCAGCCCACUGGUAGGCUGGCAGGGGCUGGGCCCAGAGCUGUGCAGCCCCAUGCUGCAGAAGAGGAGGCUGAUGCACAGGACUGCAGGCAGAGGAAGGCCGCCAGGGACUUCUGAUCAUCUCAUUAACCACGAGAACGGCAGAAAAUAAUUGCUCGUGGUUCAAUGCAGUCCAUCUGUGUGGGAUUUUCUCAGUAAUAAGUGCAUACGGCCUGGUUUUAAUGUUUUUCAACGUUUUUUAAACUGAAACAUUUCCUAGUGCUGAAGCCCGGGCAAAAAUCAGUUCCAGCCCUGGGGGCAGUGAGGGGAUUUAGAGGCACAAGUCUCAGGUUGACUUUUUAACAGGGUUCGUACAAACUAUCCUGCCCAUAAUGCUCGUGUAAUUGAUGCUUUUGAAUACUCCAAGGAGGCCAAGGUCCUCUGAGGCUUUGAAAGUAUGUUUUACAGUACUUUCUGAUGUGAUAUAUAAAAAACUCCCUGAUCAUGAGUCAGGCAAGCAAAGCUCUUGAGACUGACUUAAAAUUAUUUACAUGCACACACACCCCUUUUUAAGUGAUCACACUUAAAUAUUUUCAAAUUUUUCUUUUUUUAAAUUUUUUAUUUCUUUUUUUAUUAAAGAAAAACUGAUUUUUCAUGCAGAAAACAGAACUUCAGGACUCUGGCAGUUUUGGUGUAAAAGCUGCCCCUCAGCCAGCUGCAGGGAUGCAGGGAGGGCUGGAUCAGACUGGGCUGUGCCUUCCUGCAGAAGGGUUCAUACCUGGAGCUGAUUUAUCUUAUUUCCCUGCAAGAUGCAGUUUGGGGCUUAACUCUGGCCAAGCAAAAGUGACUGUGAGGAACUUUGCUCAUUGGGAUGGAUGAAGCAAUGG